CGUAGGGUGCGAGCGUUGUCCGGAAUUACUGGGCGUAAAGAGCUCGUAGGUGGUUUGUCGCGUUGUUCGUGAAAACUCACAACUCAAUUGUGGGCGUGCGGGCGAUACGGGCAGACUGGAGUACUGCAGGGGAGACUGGAAUUCCUGGUGUAGCGGUGGAAUGCGCAGAUAUCAGGAGGAACACCGGUGGCGAAGGCGGGUCUCUGGGCAGUAACUGACGCUGAGGCACGAAAGCCAAGGGAGCAAACAGG
rnacentral:rRNA from 1 species